rnacentral:lncRNA from 1 species
CACCUUAUUGUGCUGCUUUUAAUUACGAAAGAUGUAAAAUGAGGCGUUAUAAAACUCGGAAGCUACUUUACACAAAUUCCAAUCUUUAAAUAUUGUUUAACAAGGGGCUGGGACUCAGGACACUGGCGGGCAGGCUGACUAGUUGCUCUGAUGGGUCCACCAUGAAGCAACGGAACCAUCUGUGCAUAAAUCAGAAGAGCCCGUGAGAGUCAGAUUGGAAAUGUCUUCAAAUACACAAAUGGUUGGAAUACACAACAUCUCAGCUCAGGUGACAGACAGUAGACUUAGGAGAAAUGAAACAGGACAAAGGAGAAUUUAUGUUGAUCUUGACAUGAUCAAGAAAAUUCUCUCCUAACACUGUCUGUCCUAAAAACCACAACCACACAGAAAGAAAAAACGGAAACAGAUAGGUUUUUAGUUCUAUGCUAUUUAACUGCUAGUAAAUGAGAGUAGUACAGCCAUAAAUUUCUUGUGACAAAACUAAAUAUUGAAAAAUAGUUUAUUUUGAAGUAUGCAGCCACUUCAGAUGCCGAGGACCACCCCUGGUUUGUUGCAAAGGCAGCAAUGAGUGCAGACUCAGCCGCUGAAGGCACGACACCUGUCCAUGGGUGGCCUGGACACCAUCUAAGCAAAGUGGAUGGUCUAAUGCCCAAAACCUUUUCACAGGACAAGACUGGACUGAUGGACUUACGGACAAACUUAGUUCAGUGCUAAACCUUACUGUCAUCAUUACAGUCCCGCCAAAAUGUCACUUUUCCUGGGAGCCUCCAUUUCCAUGUGUCACCUGGAGAAUGCCCCAGGGGCAGCGCACUUCACAGUGUAGGUCUCAGGGUCUCCAGUUGUAAGGCACAGCUGCCCUGCAGACAAAGAGAGCUGGCACCCCGACAUCGAUGAUCCCCACGGGAAAGGCACUGUGCAAGAGUGGAUUAUGCUGGGACCUCCAUUUCUCCAAAAAAAAACCCAAAAAACCCCACACCAAAAACUUCUUACUAACAGCAUCACUCCCUGUCUCAAAGGCCAGAUCAGAUUUCGGGGACCUUCGACACAGGAAAGGCAGCAAGGAGAUCUCACGUCUAAAGGGAUCUGCAAGUUGCACUGGGAAGAAGGCUUGGGGGGGAGGCCGACUCCUCUCCGAGCCAGGGCUCAGGCAAGGACUGCGGGUGGAUCUGCCGAUUCAGCAGCAGGGGUUCAGGGCUAAUGCGAAGCGAGGAGACCUGGGUCCCCCAGAGGAGGAUGGAGUGGUGUGCCAGCAGGGUAAUUUGAAAGACUGGACGUAAGGCAAUCCCUCUGAAGACAAAAGAGAAACGGGACGAGGUCUGGAGAUGUUGACAGUCAGGAUCCUGCGACAGACUCUUGCCAUAAGGCACAGAAGUAUCGGGUUCAGACCCUCCUAGCGCAGCCUGGCUUCUUUGUGGGAAAGCAGUCUAGCGACCUGCAGUGACACUCCUGGUGGCCCCAGGAAGGGCCAUGGCUGUCCAGGCAAAGGUUCGGCAUCUCUCAUCUCCCUGCAGUGUUGCUGUCCUCCCCGCCCUGUCUUCCCAUGCCUAUGCUCUGCUCCACUGCCCAGACCGCUUCCCAGAAGUGCUCUGAGGCAUCGUCCCCUCUGUUCUCUUCAAACCCACCAGUCAGGUUUCUGGUCAGGGGCUGGCCUAGCCUAAGUUGGAGGAAGCAGGCAGGGGUGGAAAUGUGGUGACACUAUUUUAUACUAAG